UGCUAACUUUGCUGAUUGUGUAUAAUUACAAUCAAAGGUACCCUGUUGCUAUAUAUGGUGUUUUUGGUAACAGUUGCCAACCAUAUGCAGACAGUAUUUUCUGAUGAAAUUGAGAGAAUAACCAUAGAGGCACAAAAUCAGAUUUCUGAGACUGAAAGGAAUUAUACAGAAGCCUUGGAGGAAUGGACGCUAUCAAUGGCAUAACAAAGAAUGAUGUUGGUGCCUAUCAGAGUGCCUGUGGUGAUCAUGAAGUUCGUUGCUCUGCUUCUUAUGAUUAGAGUUGGGCAUUUGUACUAUGAGUUAUAUAUGUAAAUUUGCAUAGAUUUGAGUGUAUAUUUGUGUUAUAUAUAUAUAUAUAUUGAAUAUUGUAAAAUUGUACAGAUUUAAGUUUGAUUUUCAUAGAUCUGAAGAUUGUAAAUUUAUUGAUAUAUAUUGGUGAUGUUAAGUGUAUUUUUUUUGGUGACUUUAGUAAUUUUGAUAUUGGUUCUAUUUUAUU